CCUACGGGUGGCAGCAGUGGGGAAUAUUGGACAAUGGGCGAAAGCCUGAUCCAGCCAUGCCGCGUGUGUGAAGAAGGCCUUCGGGUUGUAAAGCACUUUCAGUGGGGAAGAAAGCCUUGGGGCUAAUACCCUCGAGGAAGGACAUCACCCACAGAAGAAGCACCGGCUAACUCCGUGCCAGCAGCCGCGGUAAUACGGAGGGUGCGAGCGUUAAUCGGAAUUAUGGGCGUAAAGCGCGCGUAGGCGGUCUGAUAAGCCGGUUGUGAAAGCCCCGGGCUCAACCUGGGAACGGCAUCCGGAACUGUCAGGCUAGAGUGCAGGAGAGGAAGGUAGAAUUCCCGGUGUAGCGGUGAAAUGCGUAGAGAUCGGGAGGAAUACCAGUGGCGAAGGCGGCCUUCUGGACUGACACUGACGCUGAGGUGCGAAAGCGUGGGUAGCAAACAGGAUUAGAUACCCUGGUAGUC
rnacentral:rRNA from 1 species